rnacentral:rRNA from 1 species
AGCAGUCGCCGCGGUAAUACGUAGGGGGCAAGCGUUAUCCGGAUUUACUGGGUGUAAAGGGAGCGCAGACGGCUCUGCAAGUCUGAAGUGAAAGCCCGCGGCUUAACCGCGGGACUGCUUUGGAAACUGCAAGGCUUGAGUAUCGGAGGGGCAGGCGGAAUUCCUAGUGUAGCGGUGAAAUGCGUAGAUAUUAGGAAGAACACCGGUGGCGAUGGCGGCCUGCUGGACGAAAACUGACGUUGAGGCUCGAAGGCGUGGGGAGCAAACAGGAUUAGAUACCCGAGUAGUCCCUGUCUCUUAUAC